rnacentral:lncRNA from 1 species
AACGAGGCCCAUUUUCUGUUGCACUUCAGAACGUUUACUCGAGCUCACAAGUUUCUACAUUAGAUUCGGAAGAUCUUCGUGUUGGUCAUGGAAGGUUUGGAUCUGGGUCGCACAUUGGGCACCACCCAUAUGCUUACGCUUCUGCGGUAACCGAAGAAGCAAGGCCAGAAGCAGAGCAUCAAUAUUUGUCUGGGAGCGCCAUGGAGAAUGCUACCUGUAGUGAAGGUUCACCAGAACUGGUCACAAGGCGAGCGUACAGAGGGGUUAGGAAACGACCAUGGGGGCGGUGGUCAGCGGAGAUUCGUGACAAGAUUGGGAAAUGCAGGCAUUGGCUCGGCACGUUUGAUACAGCUGAAGACGCAGCAAGAGCGUACGACGCCGCCGCAAGGAGGUUGCGUGGUGCGAAGGCGCGCACCAAUUUCGAACUGCCUGCUACCCUCUUGUCGCCUCCUCCAGCUGAAUCGCCUGAUUUGCUUCCAGGGGAAACCAUGCACGCUCGUGCUUCUAGGCUCUUACUUAAGCCUGGUUUCCCUCUCUCUCGUUCCACCUCAGCAAACUCGAAGCAUGGACAAC